rnacentral:rRNA from 1 species
UACGUAGGGCGCAGGCGUUGUCCGGAAUUAUUGGGCGUAAAGAGCUCGUAGGCGGCUUGUUGCGUCGGUUGUGAAAGCCCGGGGCUUAACCCCGGGUCUGCAGUCGAUACGGGCAGGCUAGAGUGUGGUAGGGGAGAUCGGAAUUCCUGGUGUAGCGGUGAAAUGCGCAGAUAUCAGGAGGAACACCGGUGGCGAAGGCGGAUCUCUGGGCCAUUACUGACGCUGAGGAGCGAAAGCGUGGGGAGCGAACAGG